CUAAUUUCUGAUUUUUCCACAUUAAUUCUUUCUCCUUCAAACUCUCACUUCAUUCUUUUAUACAAGCACCAAAGUGGAAAUCAAAUUACAGCAAACAGUAGAAUAAAGUGCUUAGCUUCUUGACUAAACUCUAAGUUCACUGAGAACAAGGAUUUACUUACAUCAAUCUUUGAAUUUUGUAGUGUCUAGUGCUCAUAUUGAGGUCAGAAAAAAUUAUUGGCUUUGUUGUGUUGAUUCUGUUGGGUUCUUGCUUCCGGGCCAGAAUAGGAAAGAACUUUGCUGGAAACACCCACCUCACAUCAUCUCCUGUGGAAUGGAUGAUGACACUUGAGCUGACUCUAACAAUGAAGAGACAUAGGUUCAUUUACAUAAGCAGAGACGAGAAAGCACUUCUGAGGUUGUAUGAAACAGAAACCCAUUAACCAUCUCUGAAGAUGAACAGUCUCCAAGAUGCUGUGUUGGAUUGUGAUCUACGAGUACGGUGUAGGAACUGCAUUGAACUGCCUUCUGGGACAGGUGGCCAUGAAACAGUAAAGGAAGAAGAAGACAGGGAAAGAAGAUCAUUUUCUGGCAGGAGAAGGGCACUGAGAAGUUCCUGGGAUGGCUGGAGGAGAGAACUCUUCAGAAAACAGACCAAAAAUAAGGCAGCGACACAGCGAUGA
rnacentral:lncRNA from 1 species